rnacentral:rRNA from 1 species
AACGAACGCUGGCGGCAUGCCUAACACAUGCAAGUCGAACGAGACCUUCGGGUCUAGUGGCGCACGGGUGCGUAACGCGUGGGAACCUGCCUUGAGGUUCGGAAUAACUCAGAGAAAUUUGAGCUAAUACCGGAUGAUGUCUUCGGACCAAAGAUUUAUCGCCUUUAGAUGGGCCCGCGUAAGAUUAGUUAGUUGGUGGGUAAAGGCCUACCAAGGCGACGAUCUUUAGCUGGUCUGAGAGGAUGAUCAGCCACACUGGGACUGAGACACGGCCCAGACUCCUACGGGAGGCAGCAGUGGGGAAUAUUGGACAAUGGGCGAAAGCCUGAUCCAGCAAUGCCGCGUGAGUGAUGAAGGCCUUAGGGUUGUAAAGCUCUUUUACCCGAGAUGAUAAUGACAGUAUCGGGAGAAUAAGCUCCGGCUAACUCCGUGCCAGCAGCCGCGGUAAUGUGACU